UUGCAUCUGGAUUUUGAGUUGUAUUUAGAAAGCAUCUCCUCCCACCUACGUCAUAGAGAAAGUCACCCAUAUUUUCUCCUAACACAGGAUUUUGAUGGUUGACAGAACUCACAGUCCUGUGCCUUCACUCUGAUGAUGCAUCUCCUGCUCCAGCUGGAAUCCUUCUCAGGAAAACGAGCAGAGGUCAGGCUGACCCUUCUUGCUGGGCAGGUGGGGCCUCCAUCUUCAGUUCAAGCUACCUUAGCUGGAAGUUUCGAGAGGACACCAAAUAUUUAC
rnacentral:lncRNA from 1 species